GACGAACGCUGGCGGCGUGCUUAACACAUGCAAGUCGAACGGAAAGGCCCUGCUUUUGUGGGGUGCUCGAGUGGCGAACGGGUGAGUAACACGUGAGUAACCUGCCCUUGACUUUGGGAUAACUUCAGGAAACUGGUGCUAAUACCGGAUAGGGGCUCCUGCUGCAUGGUGGGGGUUGGAAAGUUUCGGCGGUUGGGGAUGGACUCGCGGCUUAUCAGCUUGUUGGUGGGGUAGUGGCUUACCAAGGCUUUGACGGGUAGCCGGCCUGAGAGGGUGACCGGCCACAUUGGGACUGAGAUACGGCCCAGACUCCUACGGGAGGCAGCAGUGGGGAAUAUUGCACAAUGGGCGGAAGCCUGAUGCAGCAACGCCGCGUGCGGGAUGACGGCCUUCGGGUUGUAAACCGCUUUCGCCUGUGACGAAGCGUGAGUGACGGUAAUGGGUAAAGAAGCACCGGCUAACUACGUG
rnacentral:rRNA from 1 species